rnacentral:piRNA from 2 species
UUGAAUGUGAUGGAGCAUCAAUGCCUG